UAGAGGAAGUAAAAGUCGUAACUAGGUUUCCGUAGGUGAACCUGCGGAAGGAUCAUUAAUCGAACAAACAUGUUUCUCAGCAUGAUAUGUCAAACCCCACCUGCGUAUCUUACCUGUUGCUUCCGUGCCGCGCAUGCCGCAAACGUGUGCCUUGCGGUCCUCCGAGUAUCUACUACUCUCAGGGCCCGUGGGAGCCGGCACGGGAGGGAACCCACAAACUCUUGCCCUUUGWAUGCCUUCUGUCUGAACUGUAGUACACGAAAAGUUAAAACUUUCAACAACGGAUCUCUUGGUUCUCGCAUCGAUGAAGAACGCAGCGAAAUGCGAUAAGUAGUGUGAAUUGCAGAAUUCCGUGAAUCAUCGAAUCUUUGAACGCACAUUGCGCCUCCUGGUAAUCCGUGAGGCAUGCCUGUUCGAGCGUCACCAAAAUCAAAUCAACCACUCCGGUGAUUGGUCAUGGAGGAAGAGUCCGUCGUGUUGUGGUCUCCCCUCCCAAAAUAAAUGGCGGAAAGUUGCUGGCACUCGGUGUAGGAGAGUAUUAUUCGCCGAUUGUCCAGUGUCGUUCCUGCCGUCAAAUCCCCACAAUUAUCUUGAUUGACCUCGGAUCAGGUAGGGAUACCCGCUGAACUUAAGCAUAUCAAUAAGCGG
rnacentral:sRNA from 1 species